GUCAGUACUCUGAGAAUUUACUUGUUAUUAAUGAUAGAUGUUUGGUUUUUUUACAGGAUUAAGGAAGAUGAAUCGCCCUCCUUUAAUGUGGAAUACACUUGAUAACUCUAAAUAAUCAUCCUAAAAACCGCUUCUACAGUUUUCUCAUUUUUUGCUUCAUACAAAGCAAGUGUAUUAAAAUUAAAUUAAAUAGAACUCUUCGGCUUUAAUGGACUAGCUUUGACUGGCAUAUGGUUUUGGAUAUCAAACGAACUGUGUCUUUGUCUGCUGUAAUCUCUCUGGAUAGAGCGACUGGUGAAGAGGAGUGGGAAGAAUGCAGAAUUAGUAGAUAAUUCCCUGAUGUCAGUAGUAAGCAAGCUAUCCAGGAUAAAACCAGG
rnacentral:lncRNA from 1 species